rnacentral:lncRNA from 1 species
GAAAAGCUGCUGUACAGGGUGCUCAUCAUUUUUAUAACAAGUUGGAUGCCUUUAACCCAUGGAGACAUCCAGUUCCUCGACCGACAACACAACACUGUGGCUUUCAAGAUAUUUCGGAGCCCAUAUGUGACGAUGAUGAGCCGGAGAGCAAUGGGAUCAUUGACGAAGCCCCAGCAAUGGGUUCCCCAAGAUCAGACGAGACUGACAAGGAUGUUCCCGCAGACUCUGGUUCAUGUUCGGAGUCAUUGGGCAUGCAGACGCAAGCAUGUUCAUUCACUCCGAGUUUAGAAGACUGCCUCCUAAAGAACCAACAAUACCAGGCUGAGCUGAAUACGGCCAUCGAGAUGUUAGAGGAGGAGCUCGCCGAGAAUCGGGAGA